rnacentral:lncRNA from 1 species
UGAUUGGGUCACAAGCCCGUUCCUGAACCAAUCACGAUGGCAGUGCUCUGAAUGGCCAGGAGGCCUGAGGUGUGACUAAUCCACUUUUGCUCAACAAGCCCAGCUGAGGCCUCAAAAAACCUUUUCAACACUGCUCCAGGCGGCCACCACCAUUCAAUUGAAUUUGGCAACCCUUCCCUGAAUUCAGGCUAAAGAUACUCUGCUUUUAUUCUCUCGGUGAAUGAAUGACUCGGCAAAAAUGCAGAGAGAAAACUGAGACUCUAAACAGACUGUUGAAAACUCCUGGUAGAGAUGGACUUCUCAGGCCUGCACUAAGCCCGUGGACACGUUAAGUCUCCAGGAGGGAACUUGUG